GACGAACGCUGGCGGCGUGCCUAAUACAUGCAAGUAGGACGCAGUUGCGAAAGGGUGAGUAACGCGUAGGUAACUACCUAUUAGAGGGGGCUACCUAUUGGACACGAUAGCUAAUACCGCAUACUAGUAGAUGGACCUGCGUUGUAUUAGCUAGUAGGUAGGGUAAUUGGCUACCUAGGCAACGAUACAUAGCCGACCCGGUAGGGUGAGCGAGCACAAGGGGACUGGUACAAGGCUCAGACUCCCACGGGAGGCAGCAGGAGGGAAUCAUCGGAAAUGGGGGGAACCCUGACCGAGCACAUGCGCGUGAGUGAAGAAGGUUGUCGGGUCAUAAAGCUCUUUUGUUCAGGAAGCGGUACUUAACCAGAAAGGGCCGGCUAACUACGUGCCAGCAGCCGCGGUAAUUC
rnacentral:rRNA from 1 species